rnacentral:rRNA from 1 species
AUUGAACGCUGGCGGCAGGCCUAACACAUGCAAGUCGAGCGAGCGGCGGACGGGUGAGUAAUGUCUGGGGAUCUGCCCGAUGGAGGGGGAUAACUACUGGAAACGGUGGCUAAUACCGCAUACUAUCGGAUGAACCCAUAUGGGCUUAGCUAGUAGGUGGGGUAAAGGCUCACCUAGGCGACGAUCGCUAGCUGGUCUGAGAGGAUGACGCGCCACACGGGGACGGAGACACGGCCCAGACUCCUACGGGAGGCAGCAGUGGGGAAUAUUGCACAAUGGGCGCAAGCCUGAUGCAGCCAUGCCGCGUGUAUGAAGAAGGCCUUAGGGUUGUAAAGUACUUUCAGCGGGGAGGCGUGACCCGCAGAAGAAGCAACGGCUAACUCCGUGCCAGCAGCCGCGGUAAUUC